rnacentral:rRNA from 1 species
AGUGAACGCUGGCGGCAGGCUUAACACAUGCAAGUCGAACGGCAGCACAGUAAGAGCUUGCUCUUACGGGGUGGGAGUGGGGGAUGGGUGAGGAAUAUAUCGGAAUCUACUUUUUGGUGUGGGUUCAGGAAGGUAAACUUACUCUAAUACAGCAUACGACGUAGCGUUGUAAGCAGGGGAUCUUCGGACCUUGCGCGAUUGAAUGAGCGGAUGUCGGUUUAGUUAGUUGGGGGGGUAAAGGCCCACCAAGGCGACGAUCGGUAGCUGGUCUGAGAGGAUGGUAAGCCACCCUGGAACUGAGACACGGUCCAGACGCCUACGGUAGGGACCAGUGGGGAAUAUUGGACAAUGGGCGCAAGCCUUAUACAGCCAUACGAAGUGGGUGAAGAAGGCCUUCGGGUUGUAAAGCCCUUUUGUGGGGAAAGAAAAGCAGCAGGUUAAUACCACGCUGUUCUGACGGUAACCAAAGAAUAAGCACCGGCUAACUUCGUG